AGACACGGUGGCAAUGUUGUAAUUACGUUGAAAUUUGUUUUAAUUGGAUUUCACUACUGAUUUGGUAUUCACCGGUAGUGGUAUCCUAUUAGUGUUCAUUAAUUAAUUAAUUUGUUCAUUCUCAUUCUCCAUUCUCCCAUCCCUUACGCGAACGCGAGAACACACAAAAGUGCCGUCGUCCCUAAUUUCUUCAUUCUUCAUUCUCAUUCUUCAUCGUUCCCAAAUUUCUUCCCAAUUUCUUCCCAAAUCGCCAUCGUCCCUAAUUUCUUUCCAAUUUUCAUUCCCAAAUCGCCAAUUUCUUCAAUCAUUCUCCAAACCCUAGACGGCGACUCCUUUAUCAUUCUCCAAAUUUGCUUCAAUCUGCGGUAACAAGCUUCAAUCUGCGUUUUAUUUUAUUACUUUUAUCUUCCACAAAAAGAGACACUACAAUGGAUACAUUAAGAAGGAAAAGCAAGUACAACAGUGGAAAUAGGAUCAGCAUUGUCACUGCUAGGCUCUAUACCUAUUGAAGGGGUGGAGCUGUUUUCUGUGUUAGGCGGUGGUUGCUGCUCCUGCGUGUUGACUGCUGCUGUGCAGUGGCUGGUGUUGCUGUUUUUUGGUGUUGUCAUCUUUGUUUGAAGUUAGAAGGUUCAAUCACGGUCUCAUCUACAGGUAUGGACCGUAGUUGGAUGAGAGCUAAUCGAUUAAGUACUGAGUACAGACAUGGAGUGAUGGAAUUUCUACAGUUUGCUGAAAGUAAU